UACGAAGGGGGCUAGCGUUGUUCGGAAUUACUGGGCGUAAAGGGCGCGUAGGCGGUGUGUCAAGUCAGGCGUGAAAGCCCCGGGCUCAACCUGGGAACCGCGCUUGAGACUGGCACGCUCGAGUUCGGGAGAGGAUGGUGGAAUUCCCAGUGUAGAGGUGAAAUUCGUAGAUAUUCGGAGGAACACCAGAAGCGAAGGCGGCCAACUGGCCCGAUACUGACGCUGAGGCGCGAAAGCGUGGGGAGCAAACAGG
rnacentral:rRNA from 1 species